CCUACGGGUGGCAGCAGUGAGGAAUAUUGGACAAUGGGCGCAAGCCUGAACCAGCCAAGUAGCGUGAAGGAUGACUGCCCUACGGGUUGUAAACUUCUUUUAUAAAGGAAUAAAGUGAGGCACGUGUGCCUUUUUGUAUGUACUUUAUGAAUAAGGAACGGAUAACUCCGUGCCAGCAGCCGCGGUAAUACGGAGGAACCGGGCGUUAUCCGGAUUUAUUGGGUUUAAAGGGAGCGUAGAUGGGUGGUUAAGUCAGUUGUGAAAGUUUGCGGCUCAACCGUAAAAUUGCAAUUGAUACUGGCAGCCGUGAGUACAGUUGAGGUAGGCGGAAUUCGUGGUGUAGCGGUGAAAUGCUUAGAUAUCACGAAGAAUUCCGAUUGCGAAGGCAGCCUACUAGACUGCCACUGACGUUGAUGCUCGAAAGUGUGGGUAGCAAACAGGAUUAGAUACCCGAGUAGUC
rnacentral:rRNA from 1 species